UACAGAGGGUGCGAGCGUUAAUCGGAAUUACUGGGCGUAAAGCGCACGUAGGCGGCUUGGUAUGUCGGGUGUGGAAUCCCCGGGCUCAACCUGGGAACUGCAUCCGAAACUGCCUUGCUAGAGUAUGGGAGAGGGAAGUGGAAUUUCCGGUGUAGCGGUGAAAUGCGUAGAUAUCGGAAGGAACAUCAGUGGCGAAGGCGACUUCCUGGACCAAUACUGACGCUCAGGUGCGAAAGCGUGGGGAGCAAACAGG
rnacentral:rRNA from 1 species